rnacentral:miRNA from 1 species
ACCAGAGAGGUGCAGAGAGGCCCUUCAAAGGCCUCUGGGGUCCAGAAGAUCCCUGUCCUGCUUGAGGGUGAGCCUUUUG